rnacentral:tRNA from 1 species
GGUUUGUAGCUCAGUGGUAAAGCACUCGCCUAGCAUGGGUGGGGCCCUGGGUUUGAUUCUCAGCACCA